UACGAAGGGGGCUAGCGUUGCUCGGAAUCACUGGGCGUAAAGGGUGCGUAGGCGGGUCUUUAAGUCAGGGGUGAAAUCCUGGAGCUCAACUCCAGAACUGCCUUUGAUACUGAAGAUCUUGAGUGCGGGAGAGGUGAGUGGAACUGCGAGUGUAGGGGUGAAAUUCGUAGAUAUUCGCAAGAACACCAGUGGCGAAGGCGGCUCACUGGCCCGAUACUGACGCUGAGGCACGAAAGCGUGGGGAGCAAACAGG
rnacentral:rRNA from 1 species